rnacentral:rRNA from 1 species
UAGGGAAUCUUCGGCAAUGGACGAAAGUCUGGCCGAGCAACGCCGCGUGAGUGAAGAAGGUUUUCGAAUCGUAAAACUCUGUUGGUAGAGAAGAACGUUGGUGAGAGUGGAAAGCUCAUCAAGUGACGGUAACUACCCAGAAAGGGACGGCUAACUACGUGCCAG